ACUAGCAAUGUUGUUUGAGUGACUGAGUAUGUUUGUACACAUUUGUUACCUAAAGGUGUUGAAAUAAGAUAAGAACUUUUAUAUCUAUACAUAUAUACAUAAUAUAUAACUAAGAUUCAAACGACACUUGGACAAACAACCGGAUACCCUAAGUCCACAACCAAACAAGGAACAUGAAUUAAAGUGAGNAGUCCACAAACAAGGAACAUGAAUUAAAGUGAGUUAUCAGUCCUAAGCCCUUUCAACCUUACUUAUAUAACUAUAUCUAUAUAGACAUGAUUUUGACAAUAUAUAAGUUUAAAAAACAGUUUAGCAUAUAAA
rnacentral:lncRNA from 1 species